CGUCGCUGCCCGGGACUGAGUUGCCUCGAGAAAUGCGGGGACUUUCGGCGUUGAGUUUCUCUUCGCUGAUGGGAACCGCAUUAAUCGCAGUGGCUUGAACCGGGCAAAAGUCGUAACAAGGUGCGAUUAGGAGAACCUGACCGCGGAUCAUUGUCGAUCAACCUAUUACGUACUGUAAUUUGACUGAAUUGUUUGGAUUGAACGAAUGUUUGGUUUUGAAUGUUACGGAACUGUCUGGUUGCUGUGUGGCGUCUGUCGGAGUGUGCUCUUCCGUGCACAUAGGCGGUCACGUCAGCUAUAGCUCUAGCUAUAGUGAGCAUUAAAGAUCAACACGGCCUCGAAGUGUUGGCGCCGACAAACUCUUGCUUUGGACAUCGAAAUAUAACCUAGUCUCGUGGUGCUUCGGCGCUACUUGGCGAAACUGUACAACUCUACGUGGUGGAUCACUAGAGUCCUGGUUCGAUGAAGAUCGCAGCUAGCUGCGAUAAGUAGUGCGACUUGCAGAUACAAUGAGCACGAAAUCGUUGAAUGCACAUUGCGCUGGCGAGAAAUCGUCAGCAUGUAUGGAUUAGUGUUGAAUGUACUAUUGUGUCAUUCCGAUCGAAUGACUUUGUCGUGGCGCGAGCUUCUCGGUAAGUUCCCGUCAUCAGAUCUAUCGUGGCAACACUUGCUCGUGUGGUAACUCUCACUUGCAAACCGCACCUCGUCGUGCCUUCGUACUGUCGUUUCGUGAUAGGACGUUGCUUCGUAGUAAGCCGCCGCUCUUGGCUUACUUGCGUGCAUUACCCUAUUCCCGUCGUGCCUUGUGUGCGGGCGAAACUUCGGCUUGUGAAGGCUGACAAUGAGGAUACUAGUAUGAAUCAACCUAAUCUCAUGCAUGACUACCCGCUGAACU
rnacentral:rRNA from 1 species